GACGAACGCUGGCGGCGUGCUUAACACAUGCAAGUCGAACGCUGAAGCUCAGCUUUUGUUGGGUGGAUGGGUGGCGAACGGGUGAGUAACACGUGAGUAACCUGCCCCCUUCUUUGGGAUAACGCCCGGAAACGGGUGCUAAUACUGGAUAUUCACUGGUCUUCGCAUGGGGGUUGGUGGAAAGGGUUUUUCUGGUGGGGGAUGGGCUCGCGGCCUAUCAGCUUGUUGGUGGGGUGAUGGCCUACCAAGGCUUUGACGGGUAGCCGGCCUGAGAGGGUGACCGGUCACAUUGGGACGGAGAUACGGCCCAGACUCCUACGGGAGGCAGCAGUGGGGAAUAGUGCACAAGGGGCGCAAGCCUGAUGCAGCGACGCCGCGUGAGGGAUGGAGGCCUUCGGGUUGUGAACCUCUUUCGCUCAUGGUCAAGCCGCAACAAUGGUUGUGGUGAGGGUAGUGGGUAAAGAAGCGCCGGCUAACUACGU
rnacentral:rRNA from 1 species